rnacentral:piRNA from 1 species
UUCCAAUGCUUGGCCUUUUCUUCCU